rnacentral:rRNA from 1 species
UACAGAGGGCGCGAGCGUUGUCCGGAAUCAUUGGGCGUAAAGGGCGCGUAGGUGGCCCGGUCAGUUUGUGGUGAAAGCGCGGGGCUCAACUCCGCGUCGGCCAUGAAUACUGCUGGGCUGGAGCACUGUAGAGGCAGGCGGAAUUCCGGGUGUAGCGGUGGAAUGCGUAGAGAUCCGGAAGAACACCGGUGGCGAAGGCGGCCUGCUGGGCAGUAGCUGACACUGAGGCGCGACAGCGUGGGGAGCAAACAGG